rnacentral:rRNA from 1 species
AAAUAUUUCAUUGACGUAAACAAUUAGCUAUACCAAUCAAACUACAUAUGGCAGCCUACGCGCAUUGUGUAAUUAGGACCAGCACUUAAUAUAAUCUUCAAAAAAUUUAUAUUAAUAAGCCAAUCCAAGACCCUAUCUAGUCUAAGGUUCUCCCACAACACCAAUGUCCUAUUUUAUAGUAGUUAGGAAACUAAGCCUCAGAAAACAAGUAAAAGGGGUGGCAAAAGUGGUGCCAGCAGUCGCGGUUAUACCACUAUCCCAAGCUAAUUUUAACAAACUAGGAUAACCUCCACAACAAGACCACAAAACCAACUUUUAAUGUAAAAAGUAUAUUAUAACUAUACCCAACCAAGUCCUACCAAAUUAUCCGCACAAACCACAAUCUCAGAACUCGGAUUAGAUACCCGACUACUGUGUGGCCCAACACAUAAAAGAAUACUACAAACGAAAGUUUAAACCUCAAACAAUGUGGCGGUGCUUUACUCCUCAUCAGGGGAUCCUGUGGCUUAAACCGAUAACCCACGAUAAACCCAAGCUUUCCUAGUAUCAACAGCUUGUGUAUGGCCGUUUAUGCUUGCUCAGAAAAGAAAAUAAAAGGAAGCAAUUAGGGAAACCCCUAAUAAUUCAGGUGACAUACAGCCAAUGGAAAGCUGCCCCAUGGGAUACAAAUAGAUACACCCUACUGAACUUAACCCUUAAAAGUUUAAUGAAAGAGGACUUGAAAGUAAGGUCUCAACACACAUCAAGUAGACCUGAAUAAGAACUAAAGCGCGCACAAAUCGCCCGUCACUCCGGCAAUAAAGCCGGAUAAGUCGUAACAUAGUAGGGGUAAUGGAAAUUGCCCCUAUAA